GAUGAACGCUGGCGGCGUGCUUAACACAUGCAAGUCGAGCGGACAGGCGAUGCUUUUGUGGGGUGCUCGUGUGGCGCACGGGUGAGUAACACGUGUGUAUCAUGUCCUUGUCUUUGGGAUAUCUUCUGGAAACUCGGGCUAAUAUCGGAUAGGAUCUCUUGCUGCACGGUGGGGGUUGGUAAGUUUCGGCGGUUCGGGAUCGUCUCGCGGCUUAUCCGCUAGUUGGUGUGGUAGUGGCUUACCAAGCCUAUGACGGCUAGCCGGCCUGAGAGGGUGACCGGCCACAUUGGGACUGAGAGACGGCCCAGACUCCUACGGGAGGCAGCAGGGGAAAAUAUGACACAAUGAGCGGAAGCCUGUGGCGGCGACCCCGCGUGCGGAAUAACGGCCUUCGGGUUAUAAACAGAUUUCGCCGGUAACGAAGCGUGAGUGACGGUAAUGGGUAAGAAAGCACCGGCUAACUACGUG
rnacentral:rRNA from 1 species